UACGAAGGGGGCUAGCGUUGUUCGGAAUUACUGGGCGUAAAGGGCGCGCAGGCGGCCGCUCAAGUCAGAUGUGAAAGCCCCGGGCUCAACCUGGGAACUGCAUUUGAUACUGAGUGGCUAGAGUUCGGGAGAGGAGAGUGGAAUUCCCAGUGUAGAGGUGAAAUUCGUAGAUAUUCGGAAGAACACCAGUGGCGAAGGCGACUUACUGGUCCAUGACUGACGCUGAGGCUCGAAAGCGUGGGGAGCAAACAGG
rnacentral:rRNA from 1 species